rnacentral:rRNA from 1 species
AUUGAACGCUGGCGGCAGGCCUAACACAUGCAAGUCGAGCGGAUGAAGGGAGCUUGCUCCUGGAUUCAGCGGCGGACGGGUGAGUAAUGCCUAGGAAUCUGCCUGGUAGUGGGGGAUAACGUCCGGAAACGGGCGCUAAUACCGCAUACGUCCUGAGGGAGAAAGUGGGGGAUCUUCGGACCUCACGCUAUCAGAUGAGCCUAGGUCGGAUAGCCAGUUGGUGGGGUAAAGGCCUACCAAGGCGACGAUCCGUAACUGGUCUGAGAGGAUGAUCAGUCACACUGGAACUGAGACACGGUCCAGACUCCUACGGGAGGCAGCAGUGGGGAAUAUUGGACAAUGGGCGAAAGCCUGAUCCAGCCAUGCCGCGUGUGUGAAGAAGGUCUUCGGAUUGUAAAGCACUUUAAGUUGGGAGGAAGGGCAGUAAGUUAAUACCUUGCUGUUUUGACGUUACCAACAGAAUAAGCACCGGCUAACUUCGUG